rnacentral:lncRNA from 1 species
CUGUUGAGGUGGAAGGUUGUGACCAGCACCAGUGGCGCCAACACCAGUGGCACCAGCACCAGUGGCAGCAGCACCAGCACCAGUACCAGCACCAGUGGCACCAGAACCAGUACCAGCACCAGUGGCACCAUCACCAGUUGCACCAUCACCAGUUGCACCAUCACCAGUACCAGCACCAGUGGCACCAACACCAGUGGCACCAACACCAGCACCAGUGGCACCAGCACCAGUGGCACCAACACCAGCACCAGCACCAGCACCAGUGGCACCAACACCAGCGGCACCAACACCAGCACCAGUGGCACCAUCACCAGCACCAGUACCAGCACCAGUGGCACCAACACCAGUGGCACCAGCACCAGUGGCACCAUCACCAGUUGCACCAUCACCAGCACCAGUACCAGCACCAGUGGCACCAACACCAGUGGCACCAGCACCAGUGGCACCAGCACCAGUGGCACCAACACCAGUGGCACCAGCACCAGUGGCACCAACACCAGUGGCACCAUCACCAGCACCAGUACCAGCACCAGUUGCACCAUCACCAGCACCAGUACCAGCACCAGUGGCACCAACACCAGUGGCACCAGCACCAGUGGCACCAUCACCAGUGGCACCAACACCAGUGGCACCAGCACCAGUGGCACCAGCACCAGUGGCACCAACACCAGUUGCACCAUCACCAGCACCAGUACCAGCACCAGUGGUACCAUCACCAGUGGCACCAGUACCAGUGGCACCAUCACCAUCACCAGUACCAGCACCAGUGGCACCAUCACCAGUGGCACCAGCACCAGUGGCACCAACACCAGCACCAGCACCAGCACCAGUGGCACCAACACCAGCACCAGUGGCACCAGCACCAGUGGCACCAACACCAGCACCAGCACCAGCACCAGUGGCACCAACACCAGCGGCACCAACACCAGCACCAGUGGCACCAUCACCAGCACCAGUACCAGCACCAGUGGCACCAACACCAGUGGCACCAUCACCAGUUGCACCAUCACCAGCACCAGUAACAGCACCAGUGGCACCAACACCAGUGGCACCAUCACCAGUUGCACCAUCACCAGCACCAGUAACAGCACCAGUGGCACCAGCACCAGUGGCACCAUCACCAGUUGCACCAUCACCAGCACCAGUAACAGCACCAGUGGCACCAACACCAGUGGCACCAGCACCAGUGGCACCAGCACCAGUGGCACCAACACCAGUGGCACCAGCACCAGUGGCACCAACACCAGUGGCACCAUCACCAGCACCAGUACCAGCACCAGUUGCACCAUCACCAGCACCAGUACCAGCACCAGUGGCACCAACACCAGUGGCACCAGCACCAGUGGCACCAUCACCAGUGGCACCAACACCAGUGGCACCAGCACCAGUGGCACCAGCACCAGUGGCACCAACACCAGUUGCACCAUCACCAGCACCAGUACCAGCACCAGUGGUACCAUCACCAGUGGCACCAGUACCAGUGGCACCAUCACCAUCACCAGUACCAGCACCAGUGGCACCAUCACCAGUGGCACCAGCACCAGUGGCACCAACACCAGCACCAGCACCAGCACCAGUGGCACCAACACCAGCGGCACCAACACCAGCACCAGUGGCACCAUCACCAUCACCAGCACCAGUACCAGCACCAGUGGCACCAACACCAGUGGCACCAACACCAGCACCAGUGGCACCAGCACCAGUGGCACCAACACCAGCACCAGUGGCACCAGCACCAGUGGCACCAACACCAGCACCAGUGGCACCAACACCAGAACCAGUACCAGCACCAGUGGCACCAUCACCAGCACCAGCACCAGUGGCACCAACACCAGUGGCACCAACACCAGCACCAGUGGCACCAGCACCAGCACCAGUGGCACCAGCACCAGUGGCACCAACACCAGCACCAGUGGCACCAGCACCAGUGGCACCAACACCAGCACCAGUGGCACCAUCACCAGAACCAGUACCAGCACCAGUGGAACCAUCACCAGUACCAGCACCAGUGGCACCAACACCAGUGGCACCAACACCAGCACCAGUGGCACCAUCACCAGUACCAGUGGCACCAGCACCAGUGGCACCAACACCAGUACCAGCACCAGUGGCACCAACACCAGUGGCACCAUCACCAGUACCAGCACCAGUGGCACCAACAUCAGUGGCACCAACACCAGUGGCACCAUCACCAGUACCAGCACCAGUGGCACCAACACCAGUGGCACCAUCACCAGUACCAGCACCAGUGGCACCAACACCAGUGGCACCAACACCAGUGGCACCAUCACCAGUACCAGCACCAGUGGCACCAUCACCAGUACCAGCACCAGUGGCACCAACACCAGUGGCACCAUCACCAGUACCAGCACCAGUGGCACCAUCACCAGUACCAGCACCAGUGGCACCAACACCAGUGGAACCAUCACCAGUACUAGCACCAGUGGCACCAAC